rnacentral:rRNA from 1 species
AAGCGUGGACGCCAGUCUGCGUGGAGCCAACCUUGAAAUACCACCCUUUAAUGUUUGAUGUUCUAACGUUGGCCCCUGACCGGGGUUGCGGACAGUGUCUGGUGGGUAGUUUGACUGGGGCGGUCUCCUCCCAAAGCGUAACGGAGGAGCACGAAGGUUAGCUAAUCCUGGUCGGACAUCAGGAGGUUAGUGCAAUGGCAUAAGCUAGCUUGACUGCGAGCGUGACGGCGCGAGCAGGUGCGAAAGCAGGUCAUAGUGAUCCGGUGGUUCUGAAUGGAAGGGCCAUCGCUCAACGGAUAAAAGGUACUCCGGGGAUAACAGGCUGAUACCGCCCAAGAGUUCAUAUCGACGGCGGUGUUUGGCACCUCGAUGUCGGCUCAUCACAUCCUGGGGCUGAAGUAGGUCCCAAGGGUAUGGCUGUUCGCCAUUUAAAGUGGUACGCGAGCUGGGUUUAGAACGUCGUGAGACAGUUCGGUCCCUAUCUGCCGUGGGCGCUGGAGAAUUGAGGGGGGCUGCUCCUAGUACGAGAGGACCGGAGUGGACGCAUCACUGGUGUUCGGGUUGUCAUGCCAAUGGCACUGCCCGGUAGCUAAAUGCGGAAGAGAUAAGUGCUGAAAGCAUCUAAGCACGAAACUUGCCCCG